rnacentral:rRNA from 1 species
GCGAGUGAAGCGGCAACAGCUCAAAUUUGAAAUCUGGCUCUUUCAGAGUCCGAGUUGUAAUUUGCAGAGGGCGCUUUGGCUUUGGCAGCGGUCCAAGUUCCUUGGAACAGGACGUCACAGAGGGUGAGAAUCCCGUACGUGGUCGCUAGCUAUUGCCGUGUAAAGCCCCUUCGACGAGUCGAGUUGUUUGGGAAUGCAGCUCUAAAUGGGAGGUAAAUUUCUUCUAAAGCUAAAUAUUGGCCAGAGACCGAUAGCGCACAAGUAGAGUGAUCGAAAGAUGAAAAGCACUUUGGAAAGAGAGUCAAACAGCACGUGAAAUUGUUGAAAGGGAAGCGCUUGCAGCCAGACUUGCUUGCAGUUGCUCAUCCGGGCUUUUGCCCGGUGCACUCUUCUGUAGGCAGGCCAGCAUCAGUUUGGGCGGUGGGAUAAAGGUCUCUGUCACGUACCUUCCUUCGGGUUGGCCUUAUAGGGGAGACGCCAUACCACCAGCCUGGACUGAGGUCCGCGCAUCUGCUAGGAUGCUGGCGUAAUGGCUGUAAGCGGCCCGUCUUGAAACACGGACCAAGGAGUCUAACAUCUAUGCGAGUGUUUGGGUGUCAAGCCCGAACGCGUAAUGAAAGUGAACGGAGGUGGGAACCCGCAAGGGUGCACCAUCGACCGAUCCUGAAGUUUACGGAAGGAUUUGAGUAAGAGCAUGGCUGUUGGGACCCGAAAGAUGGUGAACUAUGCUUGAAUAGGGUGAAGCCAGAGGAAACUCUGGUGGAGGCUCGCAGCGGUUCUGACGUGCAAAUCGAUCGUCAAAUUUGGGCAU